AUUGAACGCUGGCGGCAGGCCUAACACAUGCAAGUCGAACGAGCGGCGGACGGGUGAGUAAUGUAUGGGAAACUGCCUGAUGGAGGGGGAUAACUACUGGAAACGGUGGCUAAUACCGCAUACAAUCAGAUGAACCCAUAUGGGAUUAGCUUGUAGGUUGGGUAAAGGCUCACCAAGGCGACGAUCCCUAGCUGGUCUGAGAGGAUGAUCAGCCACAAUGGGACGGAGAGACGGUCCAGACUCCUACGGGAGGCAGCAGUGGGGAAUAUUGCACAAUGGGCGCAAGCCUGAUGCAGCCAUGCCGCGUGUAUGAAGAGGGCCUUCGGGUUGUAAAGUACUUUCAGCGGGGAGGCGUUACCCGCAGAAGAAGCACCGGCUAACUCCGUGCCAGCAGCCGCGGUAAUUC
rnacentral:rRNA from 1 species